GUCUAUGGCCAUGCCACCCUGAACAAGCCCGAUGUCUGAUCUCAGAAGCUAAGCAGGGUCGGGCCUGGUUAGUACUUGGAUGGGAGACCACUUAGGAAGACCAGGUGCUGUCGGCA
rnacentral:rRNA from 1 species